rnacentral:rRNA from 1 species
GACGAACGCUGGCGGCGUGCCUAAUACAUGCAAGUCGAACGAUGAAGGCGGAGCUUGCUUCUCUGGAUGAGUUGCGCACGGGUGAGUUACGCGUAGGUAACCUGCCUGGCAGCGGGGGAAAACUAUUGGAAACGAUAUCUAAUACCGCAUAAUAGCAGUUGUUGCAUGACGACUGUUUGAAAGGUGCAAUUGCACUACUACUAGAUGGACCUGCGUUGUAUUAGCUAGUUGGUGGGGUAACGGCUCACCAAGGCGACGAUACAUAACCGACCUGCGAGGGUGAGCGGCCACACUGGGACGGGGACACGGCCCAGACUCCUACGGGAGGCAGCAGUAGGGAAUCUUCGGCAAUGGACGGAAGUCUUACCGAGCAACGCCGCGUGAGUGAAGGAGGUGUUCGGAUCGGAAAGCUCUGUUGUAAGAGAAGAACGAGUGUGAGAAUGGAAAGUUCACACAGUGACGGUACCUUACCAGAAAGCGACGGCUAACUACGUG